rnacentral:rRNA from 1 species
AGAGUUCUAUCCUGGCUCAGGACGAACGCUGGCGGCGCGCCUAACACAUGCAAGUCGAACGAGCGAGAGAGAGCUUGCUUUCUCGAGCGAGUGGCGAACGGGUGAGUAACGCGUGAGGUACCUGCCUCAAAGAGGGGGACAACAGUUGGAAACGACUGCUAAUACCGCAUAAGCCCACGGCUCGGCAUCGAGCAGAGGGAAAAGGAGCAAUCCGCUUUGAGAUGGCCUCGCGUCCGAUUAGCUAGUUGGUGAGGUAAUGGCCCACCAAGGCGACGAUCGGUAGCCGGACUGAGAGGUUGAACGGCCACAUUGGGACUGAGACACGGCCCAGACUCCUACGGGAGGCAGCAGUGGGGAAUAUUGCACAAUGGGGGAAACCCUGAUGCAGCGACGCCGCGUGGAGGAAGAAGGUCUUCGGAUUGUAAACUCCUGUUGUUGGGGAAGAUAAUGACGGUACCCAACAAGGAAGCGACGGCUAACUACGUGCCAGCAGCCGCGGUAAAACGUAGGUCACAAGCGUUGUCCGGAAUUACUGGGUGUAAAGGGAGCGCAGGCGGGAAGACAAGUUGGAAGUGAAAUCUAUGGGCUCAACCCAUAAACUGCUUUCAAAACUGUUUUUCUUGAGUAGUGCAGAGGUAGGCGGAAUUCCCGGUGUAGCGGUGGAAUGCGUAGAUAUCGGGAGGAACACCAGUGGCGAAGGCGGCCUACUGGGCACCAACUGACGCUGAGGCUCGAAAGUGUGGGUAGCAAACAGGAUUAGAUACCCUGGUAGUCCACACCGUAAACGAUGAUUACUAGGUGUUGGAGGAUUGACCCCUUCAGUGCCGCAGUUAACACAAUAAGUAAUCCACCUGGGGAGUACGACCGCAAGGUUGAAACUCAAAGGAAUUGACGGGGGCCCGCACAAGCAGUGGAGUAUGUGGUUUAAUUCGACGCAACGCGAAGAACCUUACCAAGUCUUGACAUCCCUUGACAGGCAUAGAAAUAUGUUUUCUCUUCGGAGCAAGGAGACAGGUGGUGCAUGGUUGUCGUCAGCUCGUGUCGUGAGAUGUUGGGUUAAGUCCCGCAACGAGCGCAACCCUUAUGGUCAGUUACUACGCAAGAGGACUCUGGCCAGACUGCCGUUGACAAAACGGAGGAAGGUGGGGAUGACGUCAAAUCAUCAUGCCCUUUAUGACUUGGGCUACACACGUACUACAAUGGCGUUAAACAAAGAGAAGCAAGACCGCGAGGUGGAGCAAAACUCAGAAACAACGUCCCAGUUCGGACUGCAGGCUGCAACUCGCCUGCACGAAGUCGGAAUUGCUAGUAAUCGUGGAUCAGCAUGCCACGGUGAAUACGAACCCGGGCCUUGCACACACCGCCCGUCA